GACGAACGCUGGCGGCGUGCUUAACACAUGCAAGUCACGGGGGCCCGCAAGGGUAACCGGCGAACGGGUGCGUAACACGUGAGCAACCUGCCGAUCUGAGGGGGAUAGCCGGCCCAACGGCCGGGUAAUACCGCAUACGUCCUUUUGGUCUCAUGACCGAGAGAAGAAACCUCCGGGGCAGAUCGAGGGGCUCGCGGCCUAUCAGCUAGUUGGCGGGGUAACGGCCCACCAAGGCGGUGACGGGUAGCUGGUCGAGAGGAUGGCCAGCCACAUUGGGACUGAGAGACGGCCCAGACUCCUACGGGAGGCAGCAGUGGGGAAGUCUUGCGCAAUGGCCUAACGGCUGACGCAGCGACGCCGCGUGUGGGAGGACGCCUCGGUGU
rnacentral:rRNA from 1 species